ACUCCUGCGGGAGGCAGCAGUGGGGAAUUUUGGACAAUGGGCGAAAGCCUGAUCCAGCAAUGCCGCGUGAGUGAAGAAGGCCUUCGGGUUGUAAAGCUCUUUUGUCAGGGAAGAAACGGUGAGAGCUAAUAUCUCUUGCUAAUGACGGUACCUGAAGAAUAAGCACCGGCUAACUACGUGCCAGCAGCCGCGGUAAUACGUAGGGUGCAAGCGUUAAUCGGAAUUACUGGGCGUAAAGCGUGCGCAGGCGGUUUUGUAAGUCUGAUGUGAAAUCCCCGGGCUCAACCUGGGAAUUGCAUUGGAGACUGCAAGGCUAGAAUCUGGCAGAGGGGGGUAGAAUUCCACGUGUAGCAGUGAAAUGCGUAGAUAUGUGGAGGAACACCGAUGGCGAAGGCAGCCCCCUGGGUCAAGAUUGACGCUCAUGCACGAAAGCGUGGGGAGCAAACAGGAUUAGAUACCCGGGUAGUCCCAU
rnacentral:rRNA from 1 species